GAUGAACGCUAGCGGGAGGCCUAACACAUGCAAGCCGAGCGGUAUUGUUUCUUCGGAAAUGAGAGAGCGGCGUACGGGUGCGUAACACGUGUGCAACCUGCCUUUAUCUGGGGGAUAGCCUUUCGAAAGGAAGAUUAAUACUCCAUAAUAUAUUGAACGGCAUCGUUUAAUAUUGAAAGCUCCGGCGGAUAGAGAUGGGCACGCGCAAGAUUAGCUAGUUGGUGAGGUAACGGCUCACCAAGGCGAUGAUCUUUAGGGGGCCUGAGAGGGUGAUCCCCCACACUGGUACUGAGACACGGACCAGACUCCUACGGGAGGCAGCAGUGAGGGAUAUUGGUCAAUGGGUGCAAGCCUGAACCAGCCAUCCCGCGUGAAGGACGACUGCCCUAUGGGUUGUAAACUUCUUUUGUAUAGGGAUAAACCUACCCUCGAGAGGGUAGCUGAAGGUACUAUACGAAUAAGCACCGGCUAACUCCGUG
rnacentral:rRNA from 1 species